UAGGGUGCAAUGCAGGGGCAAAAGAGUUGAAUAGUGGGGUGAAUAAAAAUCAUACCUUUGGGCUGAAAUUUCCAUGUAAAAUUUUGCUCACAUUUCAAAUGUGAAGAAAGUAUUGUUGUUACUCUGGAUUCUGGCACAUUUCAUCUCAUUCCUGUCUAUACUUAGUUAAAUAUAUGUUUAGGUAUGGCAAUGUAUGUUUUUCAGAAUCAAAACUUCUCUGAGUUUCAGCUGUUAGCACAGAAAGUCAUAUACUUUUACAGGCCUAAAAUCAGUUUUUCCAAGUCUUGUGAAAGGAAAUGAGAUUUCUUUCUUAAAGGAAAUCUGGAUGAAUAAUGAGAUGUAGGGCUUGUGCUGAGGUGGUUGCUCAGUUGCUAAUCACAGGUGGUGAGGAGUCAAUUAAAAUUUUACCAACAGUCAAAAUCCUCAAAAUCAUUUAAUCCAUUAGAACACUUGUAAAUGUGGAUAUUGAGAUCCUUGGGCCAAGUCACAAAGAAGAGAGACAUUAUGGAAGAACACAUUCAAAAUUAUCACAGACCUUAGGGUGCUAGUUUUUGUUUUUCCAGCUAUGCGAACAACAGUGAAACCAAAUUGUGAAAUCAUCAUGAUAAACCAAGCUGAACUUUCUGUACAGGCAGAUGGGAAGCAAGAAGCCAAGGUGCUGGAGAAGAAUGUGGACAGUGCCAAGAGGUUCCCGACCUAACCUAAGCAAGAGAUUUUUUCUUUCUUUUUUUUUUUAAUUUUUAUUUUUUUUCACCUUUCCUUUUCUGGAUUGUUUUCCUCCACAGAGUUCAAAGCUGUCACUCCAGUCAGAAAUGAACACCUGGAAUUGACUGUCACUGGGAUUUAAAAUUUUCAAACACCAAAGGAAAGAGAGGGAAGAAAUUGGAAUAAGGCCAUGGUGUAAAAGAUACAUGGUAACUUCCUGAAAUGUCUAAUGAAUAUUUUCCCUGAGUACCUUGACAGUUUUGAAGUGUAAGGGGGGUUUACAACGCCAUACAAGGAUUGUUUGUUCUAGGCACAAUAAGUUUAUUAAAAUGAGGUUCUGAUUAAAAUGAAAGGGUCUGGCUCAUUUGAAAUAUUAAUUUACAACUUGAAUUCUGCAGUCUGCCUGCAAGGGUCUCCCUGCAUGAUCAGGGCUAUGCUUGUUAAGUAGGAAAGCAUUGUUGCAUGUAAAGCCAACUUUUUUGCUUUUAAUGUUGUCUGAUCUAUUUCUCUAAGCUAGCCAGGUCUGUUGAGCUUCAGGGCAAAAUGAAAAGUUUCUCUGCUAGUUGGACUAAGGAUAAGUAUAUGGUUUCUGUUGGAAGGGUGAAGGGAGAUGGAAAAAUGGGUUAUAUGGAAUAUGGGGUAGAGUUAUUUGGAGGUUAUCUUCCCUACUGAUUCUCUUACUUGUCCCUGGUACUACCACUUGAAGGAUGUCUGUCCAUUAACUUUCAUUACUGACAGCCACAGCACAAAUAGUGAGACAGGAGACCAGCUACAUAUAAAUUGGAUUGACUAUAUCAAAUAAAGAAUUUUUAUAUCAUUUCUAUGACUAACCC
rnacentral:lncRNA from 1 species